CCCGGCCGGCAGCUGCGCCGGGGACCGCCCUGGGGACCGCCCUGUGCACCGCUUCGCUGUAGAGGAGGCGGGAGGUUGUGCUCUCGGACUGAAGUUUCAAGAAGUAACUGAAACACCUUUGAUACGACCACCUCAAGACCAAAUGAAAUGUCGCACUUACAGCAAUCUUACGGGGAAAGAGCCCCUUGCUCCAGCUCAGCUUUGGACACAACGGUAUCAGGAUAAACACGCCAUAUACACCUUUAUAGAAAUCUACAGGUACACGAAUGAAGCUAAAAAAAAAUCGUGUCAACACUUCUAGAGCUAAAACCCAUAAAUCAACAAAAUGAAAACACGGAAGCUACAUAUUUAACCUUUUAUUGCACUUUGGACAUAUACACGGUGUUCCCCAUAGUUAUUAUUAUUUCAACACAGAUGCUACGUGUGUCAUGCAAAACGUUGCUUGGAGAUGCAACAGUUCAGGCACUGAUCCCUGCAGUUCAAGUUAGAGCUAAAAAAAUUUACAAAAUUACAUUUUUUUGCAUAACAUUCUAAAUACCAUAAUUUUUAAAAGAACAUUGCUUAUGUAAUACAAAAAUCAGAGGGUUAGACUAGUUUUUUACAAACAUUAACAUUUUGAAAAUUAUUUUCUCUAUACAUAUGAUUUGACACUUCAAAAGUUUUUGCAUUUUAGUUUUUCUUUUGUCCAACUAGAUAUUUCCUUAGAUAAGAAACAGUAAAGUUUGAGCUUUAAACAUGUUUCACCAUAUAAAACAGAUGCAAUAUAAACUUGAAAGAAUGUUUUGUAGGAUUCAAAGUUGUAAUUCUUUAAAUUUAAAUCAGAUUUUUUGAUACUAUUUUCAAAAUGCAUAUGCAGAAUGUGAGUAGGAUUUACUAAUACUCUCAAAAUCCUCAUGUUUUCAAAUUCCAGGACUUAACAUCUUAAUGAAAAUAAUCAAAUCUGCAGCACACAGUGGUUUAGACUUCUAUAUUUGCAUGAACAAAUUUUUUCUCCUUUGGACUAUAUUUCACUCUUAAGUUAAAAAGGUUAACAGUUUUCUGGCAAGCAUUCUCUGAAUGGGCAAAAAAAGCAAGUCACAGAAAUUUCUUAUUCCUUGGUCUUUCAAACACAGAGCUAAAAUAUUUGAGGGUUUUUUUUUUAAAUGUAUGUGCAUUGUUAAGGAGACCAUACUAAACCCACUAAUACUAAUAUAUUAUGGUUGAGUAGAAAAUUAUCUCUAGAAAAUAGCUUAUUUGAUGUGCUGAUUCCAGAUGAAAACUAAGGGUUUGAUGCAGAAACUGUGGGAUAAAGUUCUUUGGCCAAACACAAAAAAAUACUGCAACAGUUCUUUUGUGGCGCUGACAAAUUUUAUAAAAGAUGCAGCUUCUCCAAGAAUAUAUUUAAUACACAACUGAUGCAUACACAAUUAUUCUCCCUGUGUUACAGAAAUACUGAAAGUAAGCAGCCUCCCUAAUUUCUAGGUGUGCCUCAGGUUAUAUUUAUGUAAAAUGAAAACUUAAUUUAUAAUAUUGCACUUCAGUGAUUUGCUACAACAGUAAAAAACCUAUGGUUCUUAUACCUAUAUAAAUUGCUCUUACAAUUUCAAGACAAGGGAGGCCAUUCUGCGCUUGGAAGUUAGCUUAUUCAUUGGAAUUCUAAUGAA